rnacentral:miRNA from 1 species
AGGGGAAAAUUAGAAGACAAAGAAAUCCUUUGUUUUCAAUUAAAUUUCCCCGGGAAAUUUAGUUGAAAACAAAGGAUUUCUUUGUCUUCUAAUUUUCCC